rnacentral:rRNA from 1 species
UACGUAGGUGGCAAGCGUUGUCCGGAUUUACUGGGCGUAAAGGGCGUGCAGGCGGUCUGUUAAGUUCAGGGUGAAAGCUCCCGGCUCAACUGGGAGAGGUCCUUGGAUACUGGCAGACUUGAGGGAGGUAGAGGAGAGUGGAAUUCCCGGUGUAGUGGUGAUAUGCGUAGAUAUCGGGAGGAACACCAGUGGCGAAGGCGGCUCUCUGAGCCUUUCCUGACGCUGAGACGCGAAAGCGUGGGGAGCGAACCGG